UAUUUUUUAUUCGUUUACUUGAUUCUGUCUGUACUGAGAAAAUUUACAGUUGUGUUACUAAUUAUAACUUUGCGGAUUGAGUAAAAAUUCUAACGACUAACAGUGCACAAAUUUCUUGCUCAGCUUCUUGUCAUUAUCAAUUAUUCUAAAAACUUCAGUUAUUUUAACAUUUAAGUUCAUGUUGUUUUUUUAAUAUCUGUCAUUAAAAUUAUUUCUCAAACACAAUUACUGAUCUUUUAGAGUAUUAAUCAACAUAUUUAUUUCAUUACAUUAUAGAUUCCACAGGAUGAUUGAAAAAAUGGAAUAGACAAGAUUGAAUUACCACCAAAGUCUGGUUUUUACAUGGCUCACGGUGUUUUUCUUAAUAUUCAACUAGAGACUGGAAACGAUUGGACUAAAAUCAUGUCGGAAACUAUCAAUGAAGUUUACGGAUCUAUAAUAAAAAACUUCUCAGCUCGUGGACGAUAUUCAACUAGCCAGCCAAAAAUUCAUGCCAAGUUAUUUAAUAACUUGUGAUUAAAUUAAAUAAAAAAUUUAUAUUGUGUUAGAUGCGAGUAGUGUAUUAACAGUCUUGUCGUACUAAAUAAAUUUCUUUUGAAAUUCACUAGUAGCAAGGUUUCUUGUACAUGCUAUGUCUUACAAAUUGGAGUAUAGACUAUGAACUGCUUUUACGCCAUAUUAUUUUACCUAAAUAAAUUUAUGGAUAGACGCUUGCAAAUUC